AUUUUCAUUAGGGAUAUGAUUGAUAUUUGGGAAUUUGGAAAUUUGAUUCUGAAAUGAACUGGAAAUUUGGAUAGGAAAAUAAAGCAAAAAAUAAAUAAUAAAAAGAAAGAAAACAGAAAACCGCAUUCUAGGCCAAAUCUCCCUCAGCCCACCAUUCCCUUCGCGCGCACUGGCGACCCUGGUCCGCCCGCGCCGUUUCCCCCCUCUGCUGUCGAACCGAGCCCCAUCUGGCAGCCUCAGUGACCAUUCUCCCCGUUGCGCGCAUUGCCUCUGUCGAUGGCACGUGGGCCCUCAUCGUCAGGUACCUCGUCUCCGCUGAGUUGGUUCGGCUGUGAACAGAACACCGAGCUGGAUCUGCGCGAAGCUUAACAACCCCCCUCCGGUGAUCUUGGUGACUAUUGCAACCGUCUCAUCCGCCUGCUACGCAACCAUGCGGGCUCCUAGAGCCAUAAAAGCCGAGCUCCCAGCUAUCCGCAGAACGGACAGGGCAAGCAGUAGUAGACAUCCAGGCCGUUACGCCCACGCUUUGCCUCCUUUGCUGUGUAGUGUCCGCGGUGUGGUUGGGGAGAUUGCCUAGAUACAAGGAUUGUGUCCAGGGCAGAUUAAAGCUAGACGAGCAACCAAAUACCAGUGAAUUUCUUACCAGAAUUUACCAUUGCCGUUAAGCCACCGUCCGUGGUCGAUAGGGCUCGGCGCAACACAAUUCAAGCGUGAGGACAC
rnacentral:lncRNA from 7 species